AGCAUCUACAUACAAGAUAUGGCAGGAAGUCAUAGGGGAAGUGCUUGAGAUGGAGGGCACACACACACACACACACACACACACACACACACACACACACACACACACACACACACACACACACACACACACACACACACACACACACACACACACACACACACACACACACACACACA